UGCUAUUAGGUUUUUAGCCCUUGGAUCUCCUCCUUGAUUACUAAUAGCCUUUGGAUCAAACACUAUUCCACCUACCACCACCUACCACCAUCAUCCCGACCCUACAUUUCUCUAUCCAAGGGUUAAAAACUCACAAGCACCAUCCUCUUGAUGCUUUUAGAAGUAUUCUAGCUCAACUCAUAAUAUAUAUAUAUAUAUAUAGAGAGAGAGAGAGAGAGUAGAGCUACUAUACUUUUAUGAGUAUUGGGCCCUUCGUACUCAUAAGUUGUUUUCGAUGAUAGAGCUGCCGAAUCGACAUUCCACUCCGUUAAAUAUGAUCUAGAGUAUUUGAACUUCUAAAAAAUAAAUUUCGUAAUUUUUCAGAAUCAUAAUAAAGUCCAUCAAGCGGGCAUAAAAUGAACGGUUAUAAUCGAACGACGUCCUCAAAAUGGAUGAUUGGAUCCUUCAAUUUAAGAUCGAAGUUAUUAAUCUUUAUUUAGGUAGUGAAUAGAAUUUUCUAUCAAAAAUUCAACUAAUUUCGAUUCUUUUAUACCGUUAAACUAGCAAGUAUCUCAUACCAACCGUUAAAAAUUGUCAAUUUUGUAACCUUUUGAUCGUAAGGUAAAUGAUGUCGAAAAAUUAUAAAAUUUGAUUUCUACAAGUUUUAAAUGCUCGAGAUAAUGUUUAACGGUAUGGAUCGUCGAUUC
rnacentral:lncRNA from 1 species